CGGGGGGGCAAGCGUUGUUCGGAAUUACUGGGCGUAAAGGGCUCGUAGGCGGCCAACUAAGUCGGACGUGAAAUCCCCAGGCUCAACCUGGGAACUGCGUCCGAUACUGGAUGGCUUGAAUUCGGGAGAGGGAUGCAGAAUUCCAGGUGUAGCGGUGAAAUGCGUAGAUAUCUGGAGGAAUACCGGUGGCGAAGGCGGCAUCCUGGACCGACAUUGACGCUGAUGAGCGAAAGCCAGGGGAGCAAACGGGAUUAGAUACCCCGGUAGUCCUGGCCCUAAACGAUGAAUGCUUGGUGUGACGGGUAUCGAUCCCUGUCGUGCCGAAGCCAACGCAUUAAGCAUUCCGCCUGGGGAGUACGGUCGCAAGGCUG
rnacentral:rRNA from 1 species